UUGAAGAGUUUGAUCAUGGCUCAGAUUGAACGCUGGCGGCAGGCCUAACACAUGCAAGUCGAGCGGUAGCACAGAGAGCUUGCUCUCGGGUGACGAGCGGCGGACGGGUGAGUAAUGUCUGGGAAACUGCCUGAUGGAGGGGGAUAACUACUGGAAACGGUAGCUAAUACCGCAUAAUGUCGCAAGACCAAAGUGGGGGACCUUCGGGCCUCAUGCCAUCAGAUGUGCCCAGAUGGGAUUAGCUAGUAGGUGGGGUAACGGCUCACCUAGGCGACGAUCCCUAGCUGGUCUGAGAGGAUGACCAGCCACACUGGAACUGAGACACGGUCCAGACUCCUACGGGAGGCAGCAGUGGGGAAUAUUGCACAAUGGGCGCAAGCCUGAUGCAGCCAUGCCGCGUGUGUGAAGAAGGCCUUCGGGUUGUAAAGCACUUUCAGCGGGGAGGAAGGCGUUAAGGUUAAUAACCUUGGCGAUUGACGUUACCCGCAGAAGAAGCACCGGCUAACUCCGUGCCAGCAGCCGCGGUAAUACGGAGGGUGCAAGCGUUAAUCGGAAUUACUGGGCGUAAAGCGCACGCAGGCGGUCUGUCAAGUCGGAUGUGAAAUCCCCGGGCUCAACCUGGGAACUGCAUUCGAAACUGGCAGGCUAGAGUCUUGUAGAGGGGGGUAGAAUUCCAGGUGUAGCGGUGAAAUGCGUAGAGAUCUGGAGGAAUACCGGUGGCGAAGGCGGCCCCCUGGACAAAGACUGACGCUCAGGUGCGAAAGCGUGGGGAGCAAACAGGAUUAGAUACCCUGGUAGUCCACGCCGUAAACGAUGUCGAUUUGGAGGUUGUGCCCUUGAGGCGUGGCUUCCGGAGCUAACGCGUUAAAUCGACCGCCUGGGGAGUACGGCCGCAAGGUUAAAACUCAAAUGAAUUGACGGGGGCCCGCACAAGCGGUGGAGCAUGUGGUUUAAUUCGAUGCAACGCGAAGAACCUUACCUGGUCUUGACAUCCACAGAACUUAGCAGAGAUGCUUUGGUGCCUUCGGGAACUGUGAGACAGGUGCUGCAUGGCUGUCGUCAGCUCGUGUUGUGAAAUGUUGGGUUAAGUCCCGCAACGAGCGCAACCCUUAUCCUUUGUUGCCAGCGGUCCGGCCGGGAACUCAAAGGAGACUGCCAGUGAUAAACUGGAGGAAGGUGGGGAUGACGUCAAGUCAUCAUGGCCUUACGACCGGGCUACACGUGCUACAAUGGCAUAUACAAAGAGAAGCGACCUCGCGAGAGCAAGCGGACCUCAUAAAGUAUGUCGUAGUCCGGAUUGGAGUCUGCAACUCGACUCCAUGAAGUCGGAAUCGCUAGUAAUCGUAGAUCAGAAUGCUACGGUGAAUACGUUCCCGGGCCUUGUACACACCGCCCGUCACACCAUGGGAGUGGGUUGCAAAAGAAGUAGGUAGCUUAACCUUCGGGAGGGCGCUUACCACUUUGUGAUUCAUGACUGGGGUGAAGUCGUAACAAGGUAACCGUAGGGGAACCUGCGGUUGGAUCACCUCCUU
rnacentral:rRNA from 1 species